rnacentral:rRNA from 1 species
UACGGGGGGAGCAAGCGUUGUUCGGAUUUACUGGGCGUAAAGCGUGCGCAGGCGGGCUUUUAAGCCAGACGUGAAAUCCCCGGGCUUAACCUGGGAAUGGCGUUUGGGACUGGGAGUCUGGAGUGCGGCAGAGGAGACUGGAAUUCCUGGUGUAGCAGUGAAAUGCGUAGAUAUCAGGAGGAACACCGAUGGCGAAGGCAGGUCUCUGGGCUGACACUGACGCUCAUGCACGAAAGCGUGGGGAGCAAACAGG